AUGCUCACAUUGGCAGCAUAUAUACUAAACUAGAAUGGUACAGAGAAGAUUAACAGAGCCCCUGGGCAAAGCUGACAUGCAAAUUUAAGAAGAAUUCCAUAUUCAU